rnacentral:rRNA from 1 species
GACGAACGCUGGCGGCGUGCUUAACACAUGCAAGUCGAACGGUGAAGCGCCUUCCGUUUUGGUGGGCGGGGGGGAGGGGCGAACGGGUGAGUAACACGUGAGUAACCUGCUCCCUUCUUCUGGAUAACCGCAGGAAAGUGUGGCUAAUACGGGAUAUUCUGUGUCGGUCGCAUGAUGGGUUUGUGGAAGCUAUUGUUUCGGUGGGGGAUGGGCUCGCGGCCUAUCAUCUUGUUGGUGGGGUGAUGGCCUACCAGGGCGGUGGCGGGUAGCCGGCCUGGGAGGGUGGCCGGCACCGCUGGGGCUGCGGCACGGACCCGCCUACUGCGGGCGGCAGCAGUGAGGAUUGUUGCACGAUGGGAGCAAGCCUGAUGCAGCGCCGCCGCGUGGGAGAUGGAGUCCUUCGGGUUGUGAACCUCUUUCGCCAGUGAAGCAGGGCUGCCUCGUUUGUGGGUGGGUUGACGGUAGCUGGAUAAGAAGCGCCGGCUAACUACGUG